UUUUUUUGAGUUUUGAAGAAUCAACGAAGAGUGAAAGGAAAAAUAAGAUGUCUUGCAGAAAAAAAAAAGGUGAAAAUGAGCUUUAUGCUUCUCUGGGGAGUCAGCCGUGGCGAUGGACGACGGUGAGAUCUCUGAUGGAGUCCGACGUGAACUACAAAUGGUUUCUCACACAGCGAAAGUCAAAUUCAACUUCCAAAUUGGCUGCCGAUGAUGAAAUUUUAGGAACAAAUUAGAGGUUGUUAAUAAGCUUUCCACCUCAAUACAAUGAGUUAUAGAGAUAGUUGUUUGGUCCAGAUCAGCUGAAGACAAUCACUAGUUUUGAAAACGAAGGCAUUGUCGGAGAUGAUGGUGUUGCCGGAGCAGUUGGCUGCCGUCAGAACCUGCUCAUGGACUGUCGGGUUGUGUGAUUUAGGUUUCGUAAAGAUGAGGUUUGGGCUACUUCAAGAUGUGGAUCUUAAAAGUAUUGAAAGAAAACAAACUACCAACCCCCAACCCACUAGGCUGUAAACAAAUCCUAAGUUCAGUGAAUUGUUUGUGAACCGUUCGGCGAAAAGUUCGUUUAUGCGUUUAUUUAAUAAAUGUACGAACAUGAACACAAAUUCUCUUUCAUUUAGUUAAAUGAACGGACAUGAACAAUGGUCUUGUUCGUUCAAUUCUGUUUAUGAAAAUUCAUUUAUGUUGUUCAUUUA